AAGUUACAGACAGCAGACACACUUUGUGGCUUUUCUGCACUCUGUAAUGACGGUGGGAUCCAAAGAUCAAGGCUCUUAUCAGACAAAAGCACUCGGGCUCCUUACUGGCAGCUUCUAAGUACAGAGGAAACUAGGGUGGACUACCCAUGCUUCCAUAGAGAAUUUUCAGCUUUCCGGCUGCACGUUCUGUGGGAAGGACCAUUCUCCCAGUUACUCAAGUCAAACUGAACUUCCAUUUCUUGUUCCGGCCAAUCAAGAGUACCAGUCGCCAGAAAUUAAAAAUAGCAUGUUGCUGCAGGACAAGGUGGUAAAUGACACAGAACUUUGGGAAAGUCUGGCUGGCUCCAGCCAAGCCUCACCCUCUGCCACUCCCUGUCAGGGAGGAAGCGUGAGGCUCCUGGGAGUAUGGCCAGGAAAAGGUUGUGGCCAGGCAAGGGCGCGGAAAGGAUUUUUCCUUUGAGUCAGGGAUGACAGCUGUCCUCGUGAGGGGAGGAGUGGAAAACUGGAUCUACUGAGCAGUGUCUGCUAAGUCCAAAGAGGCCUUCAGAAGCAAUAGAACUGCCAGCUACAGUAGUUCGUGGGACAUCAAAGCCGCGAUUAGCACAGCUUCCUGGCUGUCGCACUCCGCGUAUUUAUGGCGCGUUGCACAUUUAAGUGCUAUUCUCAUAAGACGUUUCAGCUGUCAAAGCGCCAUAUUUGGGCGAUAAAAGUGACUGAAAUUACCAGGGGGUCCUGCGUUCCCAAUCCCAGCAUUGUGCCAAAGCCAACGACAACCAAAAACCACCGAAUUUAUUUCACCAUUUGCGGAACACCUGUGAGCAGCCUGGUGGACAUGCAGUACACAUGGGGUCCAGAGAGAGGGGGCUGCAGCAGACAAGAUGGAUGCCCUCCAACCUGACUUCUGGUUUUGUUCCUUCUCCUUCAAAAUGGCGCAUCGUGUCUGUGUCCUGUGGAAAAUAUGGUAGGUUUGGCCAGGGAGAGCAAUGGCCAGGACAUACAAAGAGAAGGAGCCUGUGACCACAAUGUGUUCCCUGAGCUGAAGGACCCUGAGAGACCACAUCUGGUCCCUGUGAGCAUAGGCUUCCCACAGCUCCUUUCAGGUCACCAGGUCUUAAGAGUAAGCCAAUGAUGCUGGGAAGUGACAUCCCCAACAGACCAAUCAUUUCCCAGAGACGAAUCUCAGCAAGGCCAGAGCAGGCUGGGUUUCCAAGGACAGUCGGUCGUCGCUGACGUGCAGUCAUCCAGUGUUGCAGUGGAUCCUUGGGGCAGCAUCUCUGACCUCGGUAAGUCUGUCCCACACCUUUGCAGUACCCAGGAACCUACAAUUCUCCAACAUAUCAGGAAACCCAUCUGUCUUCAUCCUUCAUGCAGAUAUAACUAAUUCUGAAAACAUUCUUACACUGGACUACGAAUUCAUGCUCAUAAGCCUUCAUACAGCGCUGACCCAUUGGUGUUGCUUCUACCUUUCUAGAAUCAUCGGGAUUUAGCUAUAUCCUUCAGUUGACGGGUUUUCAAGAGAUCAAAGAGCCGUGUGCCUCCUUUAGGUGGUUAGUUUUUCUAAACAUUCUCAGCCUCACAUUGGUUCUGUCGUCCUUCACACUAGAAUACUCAUGUAGUUCAACCUUUCUAGGAAGUUUAGCUAAUGGGGUCUGGAGAGGUGACUCAGCAUUUAAAAGCAUGUAUUGUUUAUUUGUUUAUUUGUUUGUUUGUUUGUUUGCAGAGGACCCAAGUUCAGCUCACAGCACCCUUUUCAGGCAGCUCACAACUACCUCAUUGAAAUCCAGUUGCAGGAAAAUAUGGUCUCUGUGGGUGCCAGUAUUCAUAUAGAGUACACACACACACACACACACACACACACACACACACACACACACACUCACACUCACACAAAAGUAAUAAAUCUUUUAAAAAAUAUUUUUGCUAAGAAUAAGAACACAAUAUCAAGAAAACAGAAAACAGAAGCGGAAGCAGGGAUGGGGAGAUGGGUGGAGAAAGUCUCAGUGCACCCCCAUUAUACAGAGAAGCUUGCUCUGAGCAUCCUUCUGACCCCAGUGCCUUACUGGCUGUGGCUGGGUUACCUGUGGUCCUCUGUUUUCCUACCCAACCUCCGUCAGCCUUUGUGCACGGUGGGGCCAGGGUGUUUGUUUCCAGCCAAUGCUUUCUGAAGCUUAAAAAGAAAAACACAGCAGAAUUAAAACGAUGACAAAGGGGGCCUGAGACCGAAAGGCGGUAUGUGGGCUUUACAUCCCCAGAGCUGUGCUCUGCACAGAGAGGUGACCAUGCAGUAGAUGCCCAGUCUCUUUGUGUCCAAAAGAAUUAAUAAAGUUCAGAUUAAAUAUUAAAAAGGAAAGCUCUAGCCAGCUGUUUCUGCAGGAAAGCUGAGAAAUGGAGAGUUUGCUACUCCUCUGCAGGGCUGGCUCUAUAAAAAUAACAAGAUUUUUUUUGAUACAAUUAAAUUUUGCAAUUAGAAAUUGCACCACGUAUAAGAACACUUUACAUUGGCGGUGCUGUUCUGUUCAAAUGAUCCAGAGACGUAGCUGGCCUCCUUUUAUAUUUUAUUUUGCUCUAUUUUGAUGGGAGAAAAAGGUAGGCAGAGUUGUGAACAACCUCUUAAUACAGUUUAGAAACUUGGUGUGCAAAGGGCACUGAUAUAGUAAUUACCAGUUUUCUUUUAUCAGCCGCCCUCCCCUGUCACCUCUGCUAUUUAAAGUUACUGUUCACACACUGUGGCUAAUUCCUUUUGUUAAAUUUCACAUUGAAUGCAGCUUCCUGAAUGUUUGUUAUUGCGGGCCUAUGGAUGUAGGCUUCUCAGAUAAAGGGAAAGCCGGGUGCAUUCAUCUGUACGCAAAUUGAAAAUGAGUUUAACCCCUUGACUUCCGCAGCUCUGCACCCUUAGGCAGAAUAUGUUCUACCCAUCCGACCGACAUGAUUUAACAUUGUGGCAACAUCUGUGUUUUACAUUUAAGGGCAUUUUCUAGAACAGCCAAAGCAACUGUGUGUAUGAGCUAUGUUAAUGCAAAGAAACCGACUUGGGGAGGAGGCCCAGGGCCUUGGUUGGGGAAAAUGAUUCAGAGCUGGGGAUAAGGAGGGAAAAAAAAUACAGCAACACUUUUGAAGUUGGAAAAGGCCUAUUUUCAUGACUACGGGCAUAUUUCCUGUCGAAUCAUCAGAUUAUUGCCAGCCAGAGGCCUUUUUAAGCCAAGAGAAGGAAGCAGAAAGGUGCUGGAGAGAGGACUUUUGCCCCACUCUCUGCCCCGCCCUGCCCCUGCUCCUCUGCUGUCUAAAGUAGCAGCACUAAGGGAAGCCCCCAUUUGUCUUCUCUCACCUUUUUUUUUUUCUAUUGCAAUUUUCAGAGAGAAGCAGAGGGAGGAGAGAACAUAGAAAACAAUCGACCAUGGCUUUCUCUUCCUCUCGGUUUAACUUCGAAACAAGAGGCACAAAAGGUCAACCACACAAGAAUGGAUUUUGCAUGAUUCCAGGGAGAAUUUAACAUUGGUUGGUUCGUCCAGCAAACACUUGCUGAAUGACCCCUACCCGGUCCCCCUGCCCUGACACACUCUGUGGUGUCCCCAACCUUGUACAAAGGAGCUCUAAAGGGCCACGUGUCACAGGAAGACUGACAUAGACAGGAAAACACAUAGGCAGUAGGUGGAGAGGAACUGAAGCAGGAGAAUGACAGGAAAGGGCUGUUGAGGGACAGGACAGUCAGACUCUGCAGAAACUCCCAGAUAACCACCUGCAUAAUCCGUGCUCUGGGAGAAGGGCAGAACAAGCCCUAAGAAAAGGCCAGGAAAGAGCCUACAUGAGUACUACAGAAAGCAAUAUGCUGGACGAGACCAGGGAGAGCCUAGGGAUGAGACCUUGAAAGCUGUCAGGCCUUGGAUUUUACCCAAGGUCCACAGGGGAGUCAAUGGAGGUCUUUAUCUGUCGAUGUGUUUAACAACUAUUGUUUAAAAAAAAAAAAGCAACAGGAAUCUUGUGUAGGCAUUGCCCACCUCCAAUAAGCACUUUUAUUUCACCCAAACUCCGCCCAUCUCGAUGUUAUUUUAUCGUGUCUUGUUUUUUGAGAUAGAGUCCGGUGUACUCGCAGGCUGACAUCAAACCCGUUAUGUAACUGAGGAUCACCUUGAACUGCUCUCUCUCCCUACUGCCUCCGUCCAUCCCCCCACCCCCACCCCCCACCCCCAGUACUGGGAUUCAAGUCUGCACCACCCGGCAGGAUUUACCUAGAGCUUCAUCUAGGCCAUGGGAGAUGCCUGCCAGCAAAGCGUCCCUCCCCACAAUUGUCCUGCAACACUCUUAAUUCUGUUUCUUUCCCACAUAAAUAAUUCAGUGUAUAUCACACCGGAUCACUGAAUAGUUCCUUAAAAGCUGCACUCUGAUGAUCAAACACUGUGGCUGUGUGCAAGAGGAGGCUGUGUGCGUAGCUUUCAUUCUACUUCGCUCGGAUCGGAAUACGAGGAAGCCUUCGUGUCCUGCGCCUGGUUGAUAGUCACUUUAUUCUCUCUUAAUCUGGAGGUUCCUUUUCAUUGGAGGGUUUAAAGUAAGGGGAUUUCAUACUUCUUGUGUGUUAAAAUCUCUGCUUAAGCCCUGUGUGGUGAGAAGCUGUCCUGAGAGCUCAGUGGAGGAAACAGCAGCUGCUGGGAUCUGUGAUGGCGACCGAGUACCUUGUGGGAGCAGCCCACAUUCAGGGGAUCCUGAAGGAGGAGGAAAGAAUUCGGAAGGGGAAGUGGAUUCUUUGCAAGAACCCAAGGUCAGCUCUGUGCAGCGCUUCCUGUUGAGCAAGCAGGAAGUGUGCAGGAGUCUCCAGGAAGCCUGUCAAGGGGAGAUUCCUGCAAUUGAAAAGACAGAACCGUGAAGGAGCCAGGCUGGCCUUAGGACUUGACAAGAAAUAGCUGUUAUACCCUCACAAAUAAAAGGGGAGGAUAGAAAUUUUUAUUGUUUAAAAAUUAGCAAAUACUUUCUACUCACAUGAUAUGAAAUAUGCUAUUCUAUGCUAUUGGUUUGCAAUUUCAAUAAAAGUUGACGAAAUCCUGAAACGAGGGGAAGGGGCUUCAUUUUGGAAAAGCCUGCCUGUAGACAGUGCAGAACUAUUCUACCCCAGAGCAAAGGCCAGCUUGCAGCAGACAGUGUGGCAGCUGGGGGUGAGGGCAACUCAAAGGCACUGGUCUCUGUUUCUAGGCUCUCAGAAUGUCAUCUUCUGGGACAUUCCUCUUUUGUAAAUCGUUGAGAACAAGAAACACUAUGCUAGUUUAGGGUUAGUAAACUAAGUGCAAUUAGGGAAAGAGAUAAAGCAGAAUUGUCUAAGUUCUCAUGCAAGAGAAAGUUUAAGUUUACAAAGGAGAGGACACAUCCAUUUAUGCUGUCUGAGAACGGUCUCAUUGAACAACCCACGGCCCAGAUUUCCUCCAUGUCAUCUAGUCUCCAGCUUCGCUCCAGUUUCGACUACAGAAUGCCCUUCAUGACCUCUUUAGUUUUUGCAGGAAAAUGGUUCAAGGUUUCUUCCAAGAGACAGACUCUCUCUCUCUCUCUCUCUCUCUCCUCUCCUCUCCUCUCCUCUCCUCUCUCC